UACGUAGGGCGCAAGCGUUGUCCGGAAUUAUUGGGCGUAAAGAGCUCGUAGGCGGCCUGUCGCGUCCGCUGUGAAAUCCCGGGGCUUAACCCCGGGCGUGCAGUGGAUACGGGCUGGCUGGAGGCAGGCAGGGGAGAACGGAAUUCCCGGUGUAGCGGUGAAAUGCGCAGAUAUCUGGAGGAACACCGGUGGCGAAGGCGGCAUUCUGGACCGAUAUUGACGCUGAGGAGCGAAAGCCAGGGGAGCAAACGGG
rnacentral:rRNA from 1 species